UGCAGUCGAGCGAUUAAGACUCCUUCGGGAGUGUAUAAAGCGGCGAACGGGUGAGUAACAGGUGGAUGAUCUACCUUCCGGUGGGGGAUAACGGCUGGAAACGGCCGCUAAUACCGCAUUCGGUUAAUACGCUGCGGCGUAUUAAAGAAAGGCGCUUCAAAGCGCCGCCGGGAGAUGAGUCCGCCCCCCAUUAGCUAGUUGGUGAGAUAACAGCUCACCAAGGCAACGAUGGGUAGCCGAACUGAGAGGUUGAUCGGCCACACUGGAACUGAGACACGGUCCAGACACCUACGGGUGGCAGCAGUAGGGAAUAUUGGGCAAUGGGCGAAAGCCUGACCCAGCCAUGCCGCGUGAGUGAUGAAGGUCCUAGAGAUUGUAAAACUCUUUUCUGAGGAAAGAAUAAAUAGGGAAGGAAAUGUCCUUAUUUUGACGGUACCUCAGGAAUAAGGAACGGCUAACUCCGUGCCAGCAGCCGCGGUAAUACGGAGGUUCCAAGCGUUGUUCGGAAUUACUGGGCGUAAAGGGAGCGCAGGCGGAUAGGUCAGUCUAAAGUGGAAAUCCGGGGCUCAACCUCGGGCUUGCUUCGGAUACUGCCUGUCUUGAGUUCGUGAUAGGAAGAUGGAAUUCAGGGUGUAGCGGUGAAAUGCACAGAUAUCCUGAGGAACACCGGUGGCGAAAGCGGUCUUCUGGCACGAAACUGACGCUGAGGCUCGAAAGCGCGGGUAGCAAACGGGAUUAGAUACCCCGGUAGUCCGCGCCGUAAACGUUGUGUACUAG
rnacentral:rRNA from 1 species